CAUUAGAUGGCUGAAAGUAAGCACUGGUCUCUUAAACCAUUAUAUAGUAAAGUAGCGCCUACUUCUAAUGA
rnacentral:tRNA from 1 species